ensembl:lncRNA
AUGGUAUCUAUCAUCUCUGAUCUGGACCCACUGAAAAGCUGGAAAGUUUUAAGGAUCUCUUUCAGCUCAAGAAAUUUUAAUGCGACUCCAGGUACAGUAGAGUCUCACUUAUCCAACACUCGCUUAUCCAAUGUUCUGGAUUAUCCAACGCAUUUUUGUAGUCAAUGUUUUCAAUACAUCAUGAAAUUUUGGUGCUAAAUUCGUAAAUACAGUAAUUACUACAUAGCAUUACUGCAUAUUGAACUACUUUUUCUGUCAAAUUUGUUGUAUAACAUGAUGUUUUGGUGCUUAAUUUGUAAAAUCAUAACCUAAUUUGAUGUUUAAUAGGCUUUUCCUUAAUCCCUCCUUAUUAUCCAACAUUGGCGCUUAUCCAACAUUCUGCCGGCCCCUUUAUGUUGGAUAAGUGAGACUCUACUGUAUGUAGGUAUAUAACAGAGGUAUAAAAUCCAAACAUUUACUGAUUGUAAAUCAGCAUUUGGAGUACAGCUGAAGCAUUUUCCGCAAAGUCCACUAUAAAUACUGCAUAUUGUUGCUAACAGAUUCAUGUAAAUGACUAGGUGGCGUUCCGAAACUUUUUACUGUUUCCAAAUUUUUAGCAGCCCCAACAUUGACUCUGUCUGAGGUCAGGACCACAGUUUAAAAAGCAGGGCUCUAGCACUGAAAUAUGCAAUAGUGAGAAGAAAUUGUUCUUAAAAGGUGUGUUAACAAAGUCACAGGUGCCCUAGGCUGGCAAAAAAAAAAAUCCUUUGAUGGUCCUGUGAAGCAGUCAUUCAUCUCUGCAUGAUGGAGCCAGGCAGUAGAACACUCCAACAGCUGGUGCUCACAGUGCAUAUGGCCUCAUACAAUGAUGAACAACACACUGAACAAGAAAGGUCAAAUACAACAUAUUAUUAGAAGAGGAACAUAGUGCACAGAUAGAAUUCCAUUGUUUUUUUUUUCUAGUUCCCAAAGAAAAAGCUGACCUCUGCUUGUGUUCCCUAGGCAGGCCACCACCAGUUGCACAUCUGAAAACUGUGUUAGAUUUCUCACUUGUGCAUUGUCGUGAACUCUGUAUCUGUGGACAUAAUGCCAUUUCUGCCAGGAGAAUCACAUGAUUUUAGACAUCGGCCUAAAUGUACGGUGAUAAUUGCUUCUCUCUGCAAUGGUUAUGCUUCAGAUGUGUUUGUUGUGAUAUUGUGGAUGCAUGUACAAAUUUGUGUACAUUUGAUUGCAGAGGACUAAAUGAGUUUGAUUUUAUUUAUGGAUACACUCUGUGGUGUGUUAACAAAGUCACAGGCGCUCAUGUUUGCAGGCUUACAUAAAAUCUACUGCCGCUGCAGGGCAGAAAUAUCAAACUUUCAUGAGACACAUGAAAUAUACAAAAUCUUAUUAAUAUUUAAUAAAAUUUGUAGCAGUCAAUGAGCACAAUCAAUGUUUAUUAAUUAAGCUGUUCUAGUGUAAUAGGAGAUGCUUUUUUUAAAAAAACAGCGCUUUGUAUUGGAAUUGGGAUAAGCUUCUUAUAUUUCAGAGAAAUUGAGGUGCCUAAUAUAAUUAUAUUGAUUGAGCUUCAAUUAAUUGGGACUUUUUCACUGAGUAAAUAGGACUGCUUUGGGGUGGGGGAAUUGCAAAUAUGUUGAAUUAUGUGUGAAUAAACCUGAAUUUUAUUCUUCACAUUUUGGGGUAGUUAUAUGGCCUUCAUUAAAUGGGUGAGAAAUGCAAAUAUGCGCCAUAGAAAGACACAGGCCAGUUCUGUAUUUUAUCUAAAUUCAGAUAGGUAGUGGUUGAAAUAGGAUAAGACUGUCCAACUUUGUGAUGCGGAACUAACAAGAGGAAACUCUAGACAGCAAAACAUCCUCCCAAAUAUAUCUCUACUCUAUUUGCAUUGUAUAUAUCCUAAAAGAGAAUUUUCCUCCAACUGAAAAUAAACUGGAUGUUAACUUCUAGGCUAUCCUGUGCCUAAAAUGCCCCCAAAAAGGGACAGAAAUGUGAAAUUACAGUCAGCUCUCCAUGUUUUCUAAAAUUAGGGCCAUAGGGCCUCUAGGCAAGUAAAAACCACAAAUAAAAAUAUUACUGUUUUCUUUACCUCUCUAGGUAUUUCUAGGUUUUCCAGCAUGCUCCUGUGAUCAACUUUCUAUGGAAGGUGACCAUUAAAUCACUUUGGAAAAUCUAGAGAUUCCUAGAGAGAUAUUCUCUCUAAAAAUCUCAAGGUUCUCUAGCAUGGUUGGAGGAAGUUAACUACUGCAUUGCACUGGAGAACCUUGAAAUUCCUAAAGAGAAUAUUUUAAAUCAAAUGUAUGAAUAAUUGGCUAACACACAUUUUGGUGCCUCAAAUGUUUGAUCUGCUGAUUCCAAAAAUAGCACCAGUUUCCCUCUAUCAGCUCUAGGUUUUGUGAUACAGAACAAAGGCCAUAUACCAGUCUUCAUCUGCUCACUCAUAGAAAAUCAUGAUAACCAUAUUUAAGAAACCAGAGCUGAUGUGAUCUAUCCAAUAGACUUGUGCAUGGAUCUGUUUUAGCCAUUUUACUUUGGCCAAAUUGGCUUCUUCAGCUCUACUAGGUGGCCGUAAUGGCAAGGGU